rnacentral:rRNA from 1 species
CGAAGGGGGCUAGCGUUGCUCGGAAUUACUGGGCGUAAAGGGAGCGUAGGCGGAUAGUUUAGUCAGAGGUGAAAGCCCAGGGCUCAACCCUGGAAUUGCCUUUGAUACUGGCUAUCUUGAGUGUGGGAGAGGUUAGCGGAACUCCGAGUGUAGAGGUGAAAUUCGUAGAUAUUCGGAAGAACACCAGUGGCGAAGGCGGCUAACUGGCCCAUUACUGACGCUGAGGCUCGAAAGCGUGGGGAGCAAACAGGAUUAGAUACCCUGGUAGUCCACGCUGUAAACGAUGAGUGCUAGUUGUCGGUGCGCAUGCGCAUCGGUGACGCAGCUAACGCAUUAAGCACUCCGCCUGGGGAGUACGGUCGCAAGAUUAA